GUGAGCCAAGAUCGCGCCACUGCACUCCAGCCUGAGCGACAGAGUGAGACUCUGUCUCAAAAAAACAAAAAGAAAAAACAAACAACAACAACAAAAAAAAACAGAAAAUAAGUUUAAUUGGCUCACAGUGCUGCAGGCUAUACAAGCAUGGCACCAGCAUUUCCUCAGCUUCCGGGGAAGCCUCAGGGAGCUUUUUACUCAUGGCAGAAGGAAAAGUGGGAGUAGCCAUGUCACGUGGCAAAAGCAGGUGCAAGAGAGACAGUGGGGGAGAUGCCACACACUUUUAAACAAUUCGAUCUUGUAAGAAUUCACUUACAAUAGUGAUGACAGCACCAAGCUAUAGGGGACACACCUCCAUGACUGAAGCACCUCCUACCAGCCCCCACCUUCAACACUGGGGAUUACAUCUCAGCACGAGAUUUAGAGAGGACAAAAUCCAAACUGUAUCAAACCCCAUCAUAAGUUGAAGAGCAUCUGUUUUUUGUUUUAUUUAUUUUAUUUAUUUAUUUGUUAUUAUUUUUUUGAAAUGGAAUUUCUGUCUUGUUGCCCAGGCUGGAGUGCAAUGGCAUGAUCUCAGCUCACCGCAAAUUCCACCUCCCGGGUUCAAGCGAUUCUCCUGCCUCAGCCUCCCGAGUAGCUGGGAUUACAGGCAUGCGCCACCACCCCAGCUAAUUUUGUACUUUUAGUAAAGACGGGAUUUCUCCAUGUUGGUCAGGCUGGUCUUGAACUCCCAACCUCAGGUGAUCCGCCCACCUCGGCCUCCCAAAGUGCUGGGAAUGCAGGCAUGAGCCACCGCACCUGGCCAAAGAGCAUCUGUAUUUUAAAGACAUUCAUAACAAUGUCUCUCUCUGUAGUUAUGCAAUCAACUGGAUCUCUUAUUUUAAGUUCAUUUGUUUACAUUUUAAUUUUACAUUUAAUUUUAUAUAUAUAUAUAUUUUUUUUGAGAUAGAGUAUUGCUCUUCUUGCCCAGGCUGGAGUGCAAUGGCAUGAUCUCAGCUCACUGCAACCUCCGCCUCCCAGGUUCAAGCUAUACUCCUGCCUCAGCCUUCCGAGUAGCUGGGAUUAUAGGCAUGCACAACCACGCCCAGCUAAUUUUGUUUUUUAAGUAGAGAGGGGGUUUCAUCAUGUUGGUCAGGCUGGUCUCGAACUCCUGACCUCAGGUAAUCCGUCCGCCUCGCCCUCCCAAAAUGCUGGAAUUACAGGCGUGAGCCACCAUGCCCAGCCAUAUUAUGAUUAUUUUUAAAAAUUUAUAUGCUUCCAAAAUCAAAUAUAUAAACAAAAUGUGUUUGAAGAAAUUAGCUUCUGUCUUCACUGUUCUCUUCCUCCCUAUAGGUAACCUAUUUUUAAAAUUUUAAUAGUUUGUCCUUCCAUUUUAUUGUUAAUUUAAAAUCACUUCACUAAGCAAUUUAAAAUGAAAUAAAACACUUUGUUUGGUAAUAAGAAUAAUUUUUUUUUUUUCGAGACAGAGUUUUGCUCUUGUUGCCCAGGCUGGAGUGCAAUGGCACUAUCUCGGCUCACCGCAACCUCCACCUCCCGGGUUCAAGCGAUUCUCCUGCCUCAGCCUCCUGAGUAGCUAGGAUUACAGGCAUGUGCCACCACGCCCAGCUAAUUUUGUAUUUUUAGUAGAGACGGGGUUUCUCCAUGUUGAUCAUGGCUGGUCUCAAACUCCUGACUUCAGGUGAUCCGCCCGCCUCGGCCUCCCAAAGUGCUGGGAUUAUAGGCGUGAGCCACUGCGCCCGGCGGUAAUAAGAAUAAUUUUGUUAAGCUUUACAGUUGCCUAGAAUUUCACAGUCUACAGAGGUCCUCUUUGAUUGACAAUUGCAUUGUACAAGAAGCUUCCAGAGGAAAAUGUACCACUGGGCCUCUGUAUGAACCUAUUCUCAAGUGAGAUGUGAUGCUAAAAGAUGCACAUUCUCCUCUUCUGAAAAUUAUGAAGACUUAGGAAAUUUGUGCUUUUUUGCCUCCAAGUCAUCACAUAGGGGUAUGCAUGCCAAUGUAUUGAGGCGAGCCUACUGAGAAAUAAAGGUAGUGCCAGAGGUAGGAUAAUCAAUGCUUCUUUCCAACUGUUAUUUGGCUCAGAUCCCUCUAUUCUUUCUUGGUUCUGCUCCAAUAGCUAAAUUAAAUUAAUAGGAAUUUUUUUUUUUUUUGAGACGGAGUCUCGCUCUGUUGCCCAGCCUGGAGUGCAGUGGCGCAAUCUCAGCUUACCGCAAGCUCCACCUCCUGGGUUCACGCCAUUCUCCUGCCUCAACCUCCCGAGUAGCUGGGACUACAGGUCCCCACCACCGCGCCUGGCUAAUUUUUUUUUUUUGUAUUUUUUUAGUAGAGACAGGGUUUCACUGUGGUCUCGAUCUCCUGACCUCGUGAUCCUCCCACCUCGGCCUCCCAAAGUGCUGGGAUUACAGGCUUGAGCCACCACGCCCGGCCAAUUUAUAGGAAUUUUAAACUCACUUCCACAAUGCAGUCCAUACAAUUUGGAAAAUGAUUGCUUGGUGUUGUAGGGGAUAUGACAAAAGGCAAAGCCCAGUGCUUGACUCUGGAAGCUCAGACUCAAGUGGAUUUUUAAAAAGACAUUUCAACAAUCCAAACAUUUUUCUUCAUUGAAGACAGUCCUACUUUGCAUAGAAUUUAUUUUCUGGAGAGCUUCAUCAAAUGGAAGUCUUUGAACCAGGGUUUGAGAAUAAAUUAAAAUGCUGUUGCUUUUUUGUCUUCAGAUUAAUUGUGGAAAAACUGUCUUCUGACUUUAGGAUUGUAACCCUGCUUCUAGAAAGAGCUUCAACAUUACUAUGCAGGAUGUGCAUGACAUUUGGUGCCGAAACCCAGGACAGGAGGACUUCUUCGGGAGACCAUCCCCUGUCCUCACCAUCACUCCAUGAGGAGAUCCACCUACGACCUCAGAUCCUCAGACCAACCAGCCCAAGGAACAUCUCACCAAUUUCAAAUCAGGACCCCACUGGAAAUCGGACUGCCCAACUCGCCCAGCAGCCACUCCCAGAGCCCCUGGAACUCUGGCCCAAGGCUCUCUGACUGACUCCUUCCCACUUCUUCUCAGCUUAGUGGCUGAAGAUUGAUGCAGGCCGAUUGCCUCAGAAGCCACCUAGACCAUCACAGAUGUUGAGCUUCAGGUAACUCUCACAGUGGAGGGUAAGUCUGUCCCCUUCUUAAUCAAUACAGAGGCUACCCACUCCACAUUACCUUCUUUUCAAGGGCCUGUUUCCUUUGCCUCCAUAACUGUUGUGGGUAUUGAUGGCCAGGCUUCUAGACCCCUUAAAACUCCCCUACUCUGGUGCCAAAGUGGACAACAUUCUUUUAUGCAAUCUUUUUUAGUUAUCCCCACCUGCCUAGUUCCCUUAUUAGGCCGAGACAUUUAAACCAAUUAUGUGCUUCCCUCACUAUUCCUAGGCUACAGCUACACCUCAUUGCCGCCCUUUUCCCCAGUUCAAAGCCUCCUUCGCAUCCUCCUCUCAUAUCCCCCUACCUUAACCCACAAGUAUGGGGUACGUCUCCUCCCUCCUUGAUGACCGAUCAUGCACCCCUUACCAUCCCAUUAAAACUUAAUCAUCCUUACCCAACUCAACACCAAUAUCCAUCCCACAGCACACUUUAAAUAGAUUAAAGCCUGUUAUCACUUGCCUGUUACAGCAAGUAACUUUUAAAGCCUAUAAACUCUUCUUACAAUUCCCCCAUUUUACCUGUCCAACAACCAGACAAGGCUUACAGGUUAGUUCAGGAUCUGCGCCUUAUCAAGCAAAUUGUUUUGCCUAUCCCACCUGUGGUGCCAAACCCAUAUACUCUCCUAUCCUCAAUACCUCCCUCCACAACCCCUCCAUAACCCAUUAUUCGGUUCUGGAUCUCAAACAUGCUUUCUUUGCUAUUCCUUUGCAUCCUUCAUCCCAGCCUCUCUUUGCUUUCACUUGGGCUGGCCCUGACACCCAUCAGCCUCAGCAACUUACCUGGGCUGUACUGCCACAAGCCUUCACAGACAGCCCCCAUUACUUCAGUAAAGCCCAAAUUUCUUCCUCAUCUGUUACCUAUCUUGGCAUAGUUCUUCAUGAAAACACAUGUGCUCCCCCUGCCGAUCAUGUCCUACUGAUCUCUCAAACCUCACCGCCUUCUACAAAACAACUCCUUUCCUUCCUGGGCAUGGUAGGAUACUUUCGCCUUUAGAUACCUGGUUUUGCCAUCCUAACAGAACCAUUAUAUAAACUCACAAAACCAAACCUAGCUGACCCCAUAGAUCCUAAAUCCCUUUGCCACUCCUCUUUCUGUUCCUUGAAGACAGCUUUAGAGACUGCUCCCACACUAGCUCUCCCUGACUCAUCCCAACCCUUUUCAUUACACACAGCUGAAGUGCAGGGCUGUGCAGUCGGAAUUCUUACACAAGAGCCAGACCACACCCUGUAGCCUUUCUGUCCAAACAGAAAGUGAGAUAUUCCUUGGGCUGGUUGGUCUGAGGACCUGAGGUUGUAGGUGGAUCCCCUCAUGGAGUGAGGGUGAGGACAGAUGACCGGUCUCCCAAAGGAGUCCUCCUGUCCUGGGUUUUGGCACCAAAUGUCACACGCGUCCGUGUGAAGAGACCACCAAACAGGCUAUGUGUGAGCAAUAAAGUAGGUAAUGAAAAAUUACAGUCAAAGGGGGUUGUUCUCUGGCGGGCAGGGGCAGGGGUCACAAGGUGCUCAGUGGGCGAGCUUCUGAGACAGGAGAAGGAAUUUCAUGAGGUAAUGUCAUCAGUUAAGGCAGGAGCCAGCCAUUUUCACUUCUUUUGUGAUUCUUCAGUUGCUUCAAGCCAUCUGAAUGUAAAUGUGCAGGUCACAGGGGGUAUGAUAAAUUAGCUUGGGCUCAGAGGCCUGACACUUUUGUUACAAUUAAUGAGCCAAUAUAAUUACUUUAUUAUUAACCAAAGUCCAUACUUUAUUCAGAUUUUCUUAGUUUUUCUCUAAUAUCAUUUUUUUUGUUUGAGGCAGAAUCUUGCUCUGUUUCCCAGGCUGGAGUGCAGUGGUGCAAUCUCGGCUCAUUGCAACCUCUGCUUCCUGGGUUCCAGCAAUUCUACUGCCUCAGCCUCCCAAGUAGCUGGGACUGCAGGCGUGCACCACCAUGCCCAGCUAAUUUUUUUUUUUUUUUAAGUAGAGAUGGGGUUUCACCAUGUUGGCCAGGCUGAUCUUGAACUCCUGACAUCAGAUGAUCCACCCACCUCGGCCUCCCAAAGUGCUGUGAAUACAGGCGUGAGUCAUGCUCCCAGCCUCUAAUACCCAUUUUCUGUUCCAGAACUCAUCCAGGAUACCGCAUUACAUUUAGUUGUCCUAUCUCCUUAGGUUCCUCUUGGCUGUGACAGUUUCUUAGACUUUCCUUGUCUUCAAUGAUUUUGACAGUUUUGAGGAGUACUGGUCAGCUAUUUUUUAAAGAAUGUUCCUCAAUUUAAAUUUAAAUGGAAUGUUUUUACAAUGAUGAGACUAAGGCUAUGGGUGUGGGGGAGGAAGACCACAGAGGUAAAGUGUCACUCUCCUCACAUCAUGUCAAUGGUACAGACUGUCUGUGUGAUUUGUGACUGUUGGUGUUGACCUUCGUCAUCUGGCUGAAGGACGUUUGUCAGGUUUCUCCACUGGGAAGUUACUCUUUUCCCCCUUUUCUAUGCUGUAUUAUUGAAAGGAAGUAAAAAUGUGCAGCCCUCACUUAAAAGGCAAGAAGUUAUGCUCCCCGUCUUUAGAGUGAAGUAUCUACUUAGGUGAUUUUGAAUUCUUCUUUACAGGACAUUUGUCUUUUCUCUCCCAUUUAUUAAUUUAUUCAAUCAUUUAUUUAGAUCAGUAGGAACUGCUGGGUAUUUAUUGUACUUGGGUUAUAAUUCAAUACUACUUCUUUUUUUUCUCUAAUUCUUCCAGCUUUGGCCAUUGAGAAUUCUUUCAGUUGGCUCCUGGGCCCCUUUGAAAUGCCUUUUUUUUUUUGAGACAGAGUCUCGCUCUGCCACCCAGGCUGGAGUACAGUGGCACGAUCUCGGCUCACUGCAACCUCUGCCUCCUAGGUUCAAGCGAUUUUCCUGCCUCAGCUUCCCAAGUAGCUGGGAUUACAGGUGCAUGCCACUACGCCCGACAAUUUUUGUAUUUUUUGGUAGAGAUAGGGUUUCAUUUGUUCAUUUUUGAGAAAUUCCUGUUUCUAGCACUACAGGAUGCCCUAGGCUCAUCAUGUGUAUAUCCUGCCCAGUACUAGAAUCAGCCAUUUCUCCAAAUAGCCCUGGUUUCUUCUGCUAGAGAAUGGUAUUACAAUAGAAACCAAGAUCUGAAUAGUCACUGUGUGCUACCUUGUUUCUUUUUAGGCCCUCUCAGCCGACAGAGCAAAGAAAUAUAUGUGUAUAUACUAAUCUGUAUGUAGUAGGCCAAGAACAGCCACCUAAAAGAUAUCUACCUAAUUCCUAGGGACCUGUGAAUGUUACAUUAUUUGGAAAAAUUUGUCUUUGCAGUUGUGAUUAAGGAUUCAUACUCAGCAACGUUUCCAUUUUCCUUCCACUCACUAUGUAUUGUUGAUUAUGAACUCAGCAAUAUAUAGUUAGACACAGCCUGUCUGACUUCUCUCCCAACCACAAGAAGGCCAACCCUGUACCUGUGGUCACUGACUAGUUGAACUUCAGAUGCCUGAGCUAGCAGGCUUCCACAAAGAUGAAUGAACCAGAAAGUUUCUGGGAAAGUUGAGAAAUUUUGAAAAAUGAGAGAAAUGAUGUGAGAUUAGUGAAAAGUGAGAUAUGGUAGAUCUUUAAAGGUCUUGCAGCCAGGGAAAGAGAGAAACCUAUGGUAGAGCAAGAAAGUUGAGACUGAGGUUAGAUGGAGACCAGCUUCCAUCCCAACUGAGGCUAGCCACCAUGGAAGGCUCAACCAACUCAGAAGCAGACUGGUUGACUCCUUGUAGCAAAUUCAGUGGCUGACCUUGCCAAUGCACAGCUAGAGGACUGCCCCUGAUCCCAGCACACUUCCGAAGCCCUGGAGCUCAGAUUCCAUUUUGAAGAGGAAAGUGACAGUAAUGUAUUUCAGGGCUUCUCAAAUUUUAAUGUGCAUAUAAAUCACUUGGAAAUCUUGUUAAACUACUGAUUCUGAUUUAGGGAUUUUUAAUACAAAUCUUGAUUCUGACUCAGAAGAUCUGCAGUGGGGAUCAAGAUUCUGCAUUUCUAAAAAGCUCCCAGAUGCUGCUGAUGCUGCUGGGUCCAUGGACCACAACUCGAGUAGCAAGGAUGUGUUUGACUGAAUUUUAAAAUGCAUAAGAAAUCUCAAUAUUUGGCUUAGUUUAUCUGGAAAUGUCUAGAUUAAGUUUUGCUAUAGCAGGCAGAAAUGGAGACUUGAGAUAGAAAUUAAGUUCAGUUUUAGAAAAAUUUAAAAAUCAAAUUUUUAUGUACUGAUUUUAUGACUUGAGACAUCUAGGCAUAUAGUGAUCACUAUUAUCCUUCAGUGUCCAGUUCAAAUAUACCCUCCUCCUGAAGUCUUUCCGGAUAUUUCUGUGGUUGGAAUUAACUAUUUAUUAUUGAGAACCCAUAUCUCAUGUUUCUUUAAAGGCUCAUUUUUCCAUGAAUCACAAAUAUUUACUACAAAUGUAGAGAUGUGACUGUCUCUUCUUUUUCCCCAAGCAUAGUGACUCAUAGAAAGUACUUAAUAAUUGCUUCUUGAUGAAAAUGCUGAUUUUAAAAUAGACUGCCUGUAGAAUGAGAAUAGUAUCUCAAAAGUUAAGUGCAUCAUGAAAUCAAGCAGCUAGCCCAAAAGUAUUUGAAAAGACAAAAUGAAAACAAUGAUUGCUGGCUGGGAACUUCUCUAAGCAACAGAAGGAAAUGUUCUCACUGUUUGGGAGACAAGGAUAAUUCAGCAGAAACAAGUCCAGACUUCUUUAGGUAAUUAAGUAUUUAACCUUUAAGAUUGUUAAAAGACUUUUUCUUUACUAAAUCUGAAAUUAGUAAAAUUACAGUAAAGACUAUAAAGCUAAUAGUAGUUGUCAUGUACAAACUUUAAAAAAUAUUAUCAGCCAGGUGCAGUGGCUCACGCCUGUAAUCCCAGCACUUUGGGAGGCCAAGGUGGGAGGAUCACGAGGUCAGGAGUUCAAGACCAGCCUGGCCAACUUGGUGAAACCCCGUCUCUACUGACAAUACAAAAAAUUAGACGGGCAUGGCAGCAGGUGCCUGUAAUCCCAGCUACUCAGGAGGCUGAGGCAGAGAAUUGCCUCAACCCGGGAGGCGGAGGUUGCAGUGAGCUAAGACUGCAUCACUGCACUCCGGCCUGGGUAAAAGAGCGAGACAGCAUCUUAAAAAAAAAAAAUUAUAUAUAUAUAUAUAUGUAAUAGAAGUUAGCUUACACCUUAGGGAAAGUUGCCAAGCUUCAGUUUUCUUUUGGUAAUGGUAUUUUCUUUUUCUUUUUUUUUUUUUUUCGAUUCGGAGUCUCGCCCUGUUGCCCAGGCUGUAGUGCAGUGGCACAAUCUCGGCUCACUGUAACCUCUGCCCCCGAGGUUUAAGCGAUUCUUCUGCCUCAGCCUGCCAAGUAGCUGGGACUACAGAUGCAUGCCACCACGCCUGGCUAAUUGUUGUUGUUGUUGUUGUUUUUGUAUUUUUAGUAGAGAUGAGGUUUCACCAUCUUAGCCAGGAUGGUCUCCAUCUCCUGACCUCAUGAUCCACCCGCCUCGGCCUCCCAAAGUGCUGGGAUUACAAGCGUGAGCCACAGCGCCUGGCUGGUAAUGGUAUUUUCAAAAAUUAGGUACUGUAGAAUUGUUUCAUACCUGGAAGUUAGGUUCCAAUAUUAAAAAAUAUUGAAUUUAGUAAAAAUUAUUCUUAAAAAAUCUGUUGACACCAAUAAAAUAUAUGUAUAAAAAAUAUAUAUUUGCAGUCUGUUUUCU